CCUAGGUUCAUCGCAACUUCAAUACAUCGACGAAAGAUGAUAAGCAUUAAACUGAAGAAACUGCUACCUGAAACAUAACAGGUUUCUUAGAAGAAAGGUUAUAUUUGAAGAGCUCUCUAUGCGUUCACAACAGAUCGGAGGAGAGUGCGGGGCACGUUCAUUUCUUUCUCACAGUCUAAGGUACCAAUAUGGAGCACCGUCAUGAAUCGAGCACUGGUCGUAUCACUUUCCUAUGCAAUUUCACCACUACCUUCACAUAUUCUGAAAAAGAAUCAUACUGCACAGAAAAAUAAGGCAUAUAAAACAAAAUCACAACAAUAAUGUUGAAUACAACAAAUGUCAUCUGCAGCUGACUGGUAACUACCACCUGAGUAAUGAGACAACUGUGGAAAAGACAGACGCUGUGACCAAACUCAUGCUCUGAUUAGUUGCUGCUACA